AUCACUGGUUCUCAUUCGAUCAUUGAAGUUAAGCAAUGUUAAGCCUGGUCAGUACCUAGAUGGGUGAUCACUUGGAAAUACCAGGUUCUGU